GAAUUAUGCUACUAUACUAUCAAUAGUACCAAGCCCUUGGUACUAUUGAGUUUUCAGCCAUUGGAUGAAAGGAUGUGCGGUUAGGAUGAUAGUGGUCUCCGGUUAAAUUGAUAGUGGUCUCCUAGGGUUGAGUGAGUGAUUGGUUUAAUAGUAUAAUCUAACGGGUGGAAAUGAUCAAAGGGUAGAUCUAAUGAUAGAAAACUCAACAGUACCAACCCUUGGUACUAUCGAUAGUAUAGUAGCCGGACUCUAUAUAUAUAUAUAUAUAGAGCUUGGCUCCUAUGCUUUCGAAAGUACGGGAGCCUUCGUACUUGCAAGUUAUUUUCGAUAAUGGGACAUCCGAUUCGGCGAUCGGUUUCGUUAGACAUGAUCUAUGCUGUUGGAACUACCUAGAAACCAAAUUUCAUAUUUUUUUUUAUUUCAUUUGUUUAGUAAAUGAGUAGCCUCAAAAUGAACGGCUAAAAAUGAAAAUCUCAUAAAAAACAGUGAUAAAUGACUCAAAUUUCAAAUCGGAAGUAUUGCUCUUACUAUUGAUGUUAACUAGAAUUUUCUAUUAAAUUUUCAUCUAAGUUGG
rnacentral:lncRNA from 1 species